GAUGAGCGCUGGCGGCGUGCCUAAUACAUGCAAGUCGAGCGAACAGACGAGGAGCUUGCUCCUCUGACGUUAGCGGCGGACGGGUGAGUAACACGUGGAUAACCUACCUAUAAGAUUGGGAUAACUUCGGGAAACCGGAGCUAAUACCGGAUAAUAUAUUGAACCGCAUGGUUCAAUAGUGAAAGACGGUUUUGCUGUCACUUAUAGAUGGAUCCGCGCCGCAUUAGCUAGUUGGUAAGGUAACGGCUUACCAAGGCGACGAUGCGUAGCCGACCUGAGAGGGUGAUCGGCCACACUGGAACUGAGACACGGUCCAGACUCCUACGGGAGGCAGCAGUAGGGAAUCUUCCGCAAUGGGCGAAAGCCUGACGGAGCAACGCCGCGUGAGUGAUGAAGGUCUUCGGAUCGUAAAACUCUGUUAUUAGGGAAGAACAAAUGUGUAAGUAACUAUGCACGUCUUGACGGUACCUAAUCAGAAAGCCACGGCUAACUACGUG
rnacentral:rRNA from 1 species